AUUUUGGAAUGCGACGGUACACAAUCUUCUUUUUAGCUUCUCUUGCGUUUUGACUUCUGUCAAACGAACACUGAGUAUCCCUCAGAUUCUCACAGAUCUGCGCGUCUUUGUUUAAAAAUGUAGUGGAGGACUGGCAUAGAUUUACCCAGGUGAAUUUGGAUUAAGAUAUCCUCUUUCCUUUUGCCUUGGGUGAAUCCAGAACAACAGAGAUGGAUACAACCCAGAUUUGGGUUGAUGAAAUGUUGAUUAGAGUUUCUUAAUUGUUUAAGUUUAAUGUUUGAUGUUUUUGGUUUUCCAACGCACUCGGGUCAGUGGAAGAACUUUCGCAGGCCAGAUUAUCAUUUUUAGUUAUGUUGUUCUCUCAUGGUUGCCAGUUAAUUCUUCGGCUUUCGUUAUCUAUACAGAUGUUUAACAAUAUCCAUAAAGUAGUGUCUUUGACACACCUGAAUCCAUAGAAAUUCAUUAGCACAGUUAGUAAGUGCAUAAACUGGAAAUGGGUUUGUUUAGAAAAGGGAAGAUUGAAGAAAACCACAUGAGAUGUUUAACAAUAACAACAACUGCUUAAACAAUCGACGCUACAUAUGAAUCUAGAGACGCAUUGUUUGGUGAAUGAAAACUAAAAUAUAAAUAUCGUAGGAGGCACUGGUUGAAGCACUCAGAGGAAUGCUCUCUAAUAGAAAAGAACUCCUUACACUAUCCAGGUUUGAUUUGAAGUACUCACGGUACUUAUAUAGAUUUGGAUGUGGGUGUAAUGGAUGUGAAGAGCAGACUGAAGGUUAGUUGUUUAGUGAAAUGUCAUUUCCAAUAAUCUAAGUUGGGGUGAACUUUAACGGCAUACUCACGGUACUUACAAUCUAAUGUAGUAUAUUGAAUACUUUACCACUGUACUAUAUGACACCGGCAUGAAAUUACAAUUGAGUGUGCAUUUCUUGGUGUUAUAUGUUGCUGCUAGAUUUCGAUUCUCACUGGAAUAAGAUCACUAUUUGCUAUUGGAAGGAACACCGGAAGUAUACAAUUAAGAAUACGUCUUCUCUUCCAACAAUUCUCAGCUAAGUCUAAGUUGGGUUAGCACAUCGUUCAUAUUCGUAUACGGGACUAAUUACCCGAAAUGGAUCCUACAGAAGAAUUUUUUAGAAUAAUGUUCUCUUAUAAGUUUCCUACAGUAUAAACUGGCGGUAUGUACACCUACGAGUUCGAGUCUUUCUGUGGCAUAUUUUAAGAUUCUAGAAAGAGGAGCGGUAC